rnacentral:rRNA from 1 species
AAUCUUUCGCAAUUGGCGAAAGCCUGACGCAGCCAUGCCGCGUGAAUGAUGAGGGUCUUAGGAUUGUAAAAUUCUUUCACCUGGGACGAUAAUGACAGUACCCGGAGGAGAAGCCCCGGCUAACUUCAUGCCAGCGACCGCGGUAAUACGAAGGGGGCUAGCGUUGCUCGGAAUUACUGGGCGUAAAGGGAGCGUAGGCGGACAUUUAAGUCAGAGGUGAAAUCCCAGAGUUCAACUCUGGAACUGCCUUUGAUAAUGGGUGUCUUGAGUGUGAGAGAGGUAUGUGGAACUCCGAGUGUAGAGGUGAAAUUCCUAGAUAUUCGGAAGAAACCCAGUGGCGAAGGCGACAUACUGGCUCAUUACUGACGCUGAGGCGCGAAAGCGUGGGGAGCAAACAG